rnacentral:rRNA from 1 species
ACUCCUACGGGAGGCAGCAGUGGGGAAUAUUGCACAAUGGGCGCAAGCCUGAUGCAGCCAUGCCGUGUGUGUGAAGAAGGCCUUCGGGUUGUAAAGCACUUUCAGUCGUGAGGAAGGUAGUGUAGUUAAUAGCUGCAUUAUUUGACGUUAGCGACAGAAGAAGCACCGGCUAACUCCGUGCCAGCAGCCGCGGUAAUACGGAGGGUGCGAGCGUUAAUCGGAAUUACUGGGCGUAAAGCGCAUGCAGGUGGUUUGUUAAGUCAGAUGUGAAAGCCCGGGGCUCAACCUCGGAAUUGCAUUUGAAACUGGCAGACUAGAGUACUGUAGAGGGGGGUAGAAUUUCAGGUGUAGCGGUGAAAUGCGUAGAGAUCUGAAGGAAUACCGGUGGCGAAAGGCGGCCCCCUGGACAGAUACUGACACUCAGAUGCGAAAGCGUGGGGAGCAAACAGGAUUAGAUACCCUGGUAGGAUAGCG